GCCCGCCUAGCUCAAUCGGAUAGAGCGUCAGACUUUUAUUCGACUGUUCCAUUAAGGUGAAUCUGAAGGCUGCGAGUUCGACCCUCGCGGUGGGCU